rnacentral:rRNA from 1 species
GAAUCAAGAGACAGGUGCUGCAUGGCUGUCGUCAGCUCGUGUUGUGAAAUGUUGGGUUAAGUCCCGCAACGAGCGCAACCCUUAUCCUUUGUUGCCAGCGAUUCGGUCGGGAACUCAAAGGAGACUGCCGGUGAUAAACCGGAGGAAGGUGGGGAUGACGUCAAGUCAUCAUGGCCCUUACGAGUAGGGCUACACACGUGCUACAAUGGCGCAUACAAAGAGAAGCGACCUCGCGAGAGCAAGCGGACCUCAUAAAGUGCGUCGUAGUCCGGAUCGGAGUCUGCAACUCGACUCCGUGAAGUC